CUUAAAUAUUUUAGUUGUGCCCCUUGAAACAAAAAGGCGAACGAAAGAAGUGGUUUUGCUGGGCGGCUUAAAGUCCCUUGUUUGUUGAAUGAUCCGGGUUCGAGUUCCUCCUUCAGUGUUAUUGAAUGAAUACAACGUAACUUUAUGUACUUAAUAACAAAUUGUUUUAAUUUAUUCUUUAUUCUUUUUCUUUUGAAUUCAAUUAUAGUUUAGUUCUAACUUCUAAUACAUAAUAGUUAAUUAUUAUUUUUUUCAAAUUCAUGCCUUAAAAUUAAAAGCUUCAAAUUAAAAUUUAUCACUCCACAAAUAGAAAAAUAAAAAUCCUUAUGCCACAACUUUCUCAUUAAUCACUUUGACUCCGACUUAGCAAUGAAAACUACGAGUUUAAGACUCUUUUUUAGUUUUUUUUACUAUUAACAUACCCUUAAUCUUGAUUUCUUUGAAGUUUGAAUGCCCUUUUGAUUAUUAAAAAUAAAUUAUAAAUUUUAAAGUGCGAACCAUGCUUAAUCAAACAUUUUUCCUUUCCAUAACACCCACUAGUGAUUAGCAUACAGUGGUGCCCCACCAUGCUCAAAUUCUGGCUCCGCCUCUACCAGCUAAUAUUAACUUUCAAUAAUUCACAAUCUUAGUCUUUCGAAAUUGUGGGCAUUGGAGGGUGGAGAAGGGCAGAAAUAAUGAUAAAACAAAAUUUUCGUGUAUUUUUUUAUGCUUGUUGAUUUGUUAGCUUACAAGAGGCUGGAAACAAUGAGAACGGGCGAGCACCUCAUUCUGCUUGGAGAAACUAUGAUAAUUUUAAUGAGUAUUUCUGGUCCCGUCAUUGCUUCAAGCUUGGCUGGCCAUGGCGGAAGAUUCUUCCUUCUUCCUGCAUCCAACACCCUCAAAGAAUAUUCUUAAAUCUGGAGAUGGCAAGUGCAGGGGAAAAACUUCUUUUGUUGAGUACCGGACAUUUCUCCAUCUUUAACACAGUUUUCAUCGUCUUUGGAUGUUUCUUUUCAUGUUUUUUCCAGCACCUACAGUUCCUACCUCUUCUGCUGCUGCUAACAUUGAUGAGGUUCAUGCAUUGGGUUCUGACGAUGAUCAUGACUCUCCAGCCUCGCAUAGUUAGCCUAUUUUGUUUAGACUUUAUUGUUGGUGCUUGUGGAUGUUUUUUACUUAACGAUACAAUUACAUGCAUUAUAUUAUAUAUCAUGGACCUUGUCGAAUGUUAAUUAUAUUAAUAUUAGUCACUUUUAAUUAAGUGUA